rnacentral:rRNA from 1 species
ACGCUAGCUACAGGCUUAACACAUGCAAGUCGAGGGGCAGCAUGGUCUUAGCUUGCUAAGGCCGAUGGCGACCGGCGCACGGGUGAGUAACACGUAUCCAACCUGCCGUCUACUCUUGGACAGCCUUCUGAAAGGAAGAUUAAUACAAGAUGGCAUCAUGAGUCCGCAUGUUCACAUGAUUAAAGGUAUUCCGGUAGACGAUGGGGAUGCGUUCCAUUAGAUAGUAGGCGGGGUAACGGCCCACCUAGUCUUCGAUGGAUAGGGGUUCUGAGAGGAAGGUCCCCCACAUUGGAACUGAGACACGGUCCAAACUCCUACGGGAGGCAGCAGUGAGGAAUAUUGGUCAAUGGGCGAGAGCCUGAACCAGCCAAGUAGCGUGAAGGAUGACUGCCCUAUGGGUUGUAAACUUCUUUUAUAAAGGAAUAAAGUCGGGUAUGGAUACCCGUUUGCAUGUACUUUAUGAAUAAGGAUCGGCUAACUCCGUGCCAGCAGCCGCGGUAAUACGGAGGAUCCGAGCGUUAUCCGGAUUUAUUGGGUUUAAAGGGAGCGUAGAUGGAUGUUUAAGUCAGUUGUGAAAGUUUGCGGCUCAACCGUAAAAUUGCAGUUGAUACUGGAUAUCUUGAGUGCAGUUGAGGCAGGCGGAAUUCGUGGUGUAGCGGUGAAAUGCUUAGAUAUCACGAAGAACUCCGAUUGCGAAGGCAGCCUGCUAAGCUGCAACUGACAUUGAGGCUCGAAAGUGUGGGUAUCAAACAGGAUUAGAUACCCUGGUAGUCCACACGGUAAACGAUGAAUACUCGCUGUUUGCGAUAUACAGCAAGGCGGCCAAGCGAAAGCGUUAAGUAUUCCACCUGGGGAGUACGCCGGCAACGGUGAAACUCAAAGGAAUUGACGGGGGCCCGCACAAGCGGAGGAACAUGUGGUUUAAUUCGAUGAUACGCGAGGAACCUUACCCGGGCUUAAAUUGCAGAUGAAUUACGGUGAAAGCCGUAAGCCGCAAGGCAUCUGUGAAGGUGCUGCAUGGUUGUCGUCAGCUCGUGCCGUGAGGUGUCGGCUUAAGUGCCAUAACGAGCGCAACCCUUGUUGUCAGUUACUAACAGGUUCCGCUGAGGACUCUGACAAGACUGCCAUCGUAAGAUGUGAGGAAGGUGGGGAUGACGUCAAAUCAGCACGGCCCUUACGUCCGGGGCUACACACGUGUUACAAUGGGGGGUACAGAGGGCCGCUACCACGCGAGUGGAUGCCAAUCCCCAAAACCUCUCUCAGUUCGGACUGGAGUCUGCAACCCGACUCCACGAAGCUGGAUUCGCUAGUAAUCGCGCAUCAGCCACGGCGCGGUGAAUACGUUCCCGGGCCUUGUACACACCGCCCGUCAAGCCAUGGGAGCCGGGGGUACCUGAAGUGCGUAACCGCGAGGAGCGCCCUAGGGUAAAACUGGUGA